rnacentral:misc_RNA from 1 species
GAUGAAAAACGCAGCGAAAUGCGAUAAGUAGUGUGAAUUGCAGAAUUCAGUGAAUCAUCGAAUCUUUGAACGCACAUUGCGCCCCUUGGUAUUCCAUGGGGCAUGCCUGUUCGAGCGUCAUUUGUACCUUCAAGCUUUGCUUGGUGUUGGGUGUUUGUCCCUCGGGACUCGCCUUAAAGUCAUUGGCAGCCAGUGUUUUGGUUUUGAAGCGCAGCACAAGUCGCGAUUCAAGGCUAUCCGCCCGCUUCCACAAGCCUUUUUCACUUUUGACCUCGGAUCAGGUAGGGAUACCCGCUGAACUUAAGCAUAUCAAUAAGCGGAGGA